UCAAGGAGUAGUUUAAGUAGAAUUUCAGCUUUGGGUGCUGAAGGUGAGAUUUAGUGUCUUCUCCUUG
rnacentral:tRNA from 1 species